rnacentral:misc_RNA from 1 species
GCGGAAUCCAUGGAUCGUGCCAGAUUUGAACAGACUCCCCAUUGCCAAUAUGCCACCGAAGACCCUUUAAUAAAAUCUCUCGACCAUAUAAUAUGCUUCUCCAAGUAAACCAACAGUGGCCUAAAGAAAAGUACUUCGUGGGUAAUAACGAGCCUUUAAAACUAUAGCAAGCAGGGAAGUUGGAAAUUGAAUAAGCUGCCAUCCUUGU